rnacentral:rRNA from 1 species
AGGACGAACGCUGGCGGCGUGCUUAAUACAUGCAAGUUGAGCGGAGCUAAUAGUGAGUUACUUAUUAUUAGUCGAGCAGCGGACGGGUGAGUAACGCGUGGGCAAUCUGCCCUCUAGUUUGGGAUAACAGUUCGAAAGGACUGCUAACACCGAAUAAUCUUAAAAUUUGGGCAUCUAAAUUUAAGGAAAGUUAACGCUAGAGGAUGAGCCCGCGUCCCAUUAGCUAGUUGGUGAGGUAACGGCCCACCAAGGCAACGAUGGGUAGCCGACCUGAGAGGGUGACCGGCCACACUGGGACUGAGACACGGCCCAGACUCCUACGGGAGGCAGCAGUAGGGAAUUUUCCGCAAUGGACGAAAAAGUCUGACGGAGCAACGCCGCGUGAGGGAUGAAGGUUUUCGGAUCGUAAACCUCUGUCCUUGGGGAAGAUAAUGACGGUACCCAAGGAGGAAGCCACGGCUAGCUACGUGCCAGCAGCGGC